AAAUGUGUGUAGUGUGUGAAAUAUGUGAAACAUGUUAAAUGUGUGAAGUGUGUGUAGUGUGUCAAAUAUGUGAAGUGUGUGUAGUGUGUGAAGUGUGUGUCACGGAUUUUUCCAAUUAUUAAAAUGUAACACCCCGAAUUUUCGUGCACUAGUUUUGGAGUAUAAAAUAAAAUUUGGACGAAGAGACGAUUAGAAUUAAAGUUCAAGGAAAUUUCAAGUUUGUGAACUACAUUUGUUGAAAAGAAGAAAUGCCAAGUAAUCAAAUAGAGUGCUUUUUUUCUUGAUAUACAAAGGAAAUAUGUUACAGCUUGGCAAAUCUAAGGAGUAUAAAAUCUAGGAUUUCACUCUAGCUAGAAAUGGUAAUGAGAUCAAGGAACGCUUUUUGGAGCAUGAUCUUUUCCCUCUCUCUUCGGCAGCCACAAUAUUCCAAGGAAGAGUGAGAGCAAGAUAUCAUUUUGUUUAUUCCAAAAGGAUCCUUGCAAACACAUAAAUGGUUAGAAGAGUCUUCUAAUAUGAAAGAGGGAUAUGAUGCUAGCUAUAAAUGGAAGAAGCAGUAACAAGGCUUGAGAUCAACCAAUUUUUAAGUCAUCCAAUAAUUACACAAGUCAUCCAAGAAUUACACAAAUUUAGCAAGAAGGCUUUUUAGCUCAACUCAAAAAGAGAGGUGAGUUGUUAGCUCAAAAUAGAAAUUGGAGCUCUCCAAUGCCUUACACCAAUUUUUUUUUGUUUUUAGUGAAGCUUUUAACCCAAAUUCAAAAGUGAAGGAAUCUUUAUCCCAAAUUAGCCACAAAAUGCCAAGGAAUUUUGCUAUAAAUACCACAUUCCACCACCUUCUUUCUCCACACCCAUCAAUACUUAGAAAAUCACAAAUAUUGGGAGCACAGCAAGGAGUGGUGGCAAGAGAGCAUCCCCAAGGAUUCACCCAAGCUAAGGUGUGUAGAGAAUCUGCCAGGACCAGAAGGUUGCAAGGAGCGACCAGGCAGAUGACGGAUCAAGGAGAAGUGGAGCGAAUCACAACGUGCUGCCUGUUGAUCAAGAAGAACUAAGAUGAAAAGCAGCAAGAGCAGCAAAUGAGACAAAGGGCAUAUUUUAAGGAUCCUUUUACAAGGGGCACAACCGACCUUUUAGAGAGGGAUUUCCCUAGGGAUCAGAGCCUCAAGCCUCCCUAUAUAAAGGGAGGGGAAUGAAAAAUGAGGCAGCUCCCUCUCUCCGAGCUCACAUUACUCUCCGAUCCUUAGAUUGAUCUCUACACACUUGGAAUGGAGGUUUGAAACUCUGGCUGUGGUGGGGGUUCGUUUAGCUGGGCAACACCGUCCUACGUCUUGAAAUUCCUGGUUCCGGUUCGUGCGCCCAACGACAUGUGGAUUGGCUUCGUAGAGUCGUCUUGAUCAACUAGAAUUCUG